rnacentral:snoRNA from 1 species
AAGGCUGUACUUUUGGCAGGAUCAUUUCUGUAGUUAGUCUUCUUUAUUUAAAAUUUUUUGGAAAUCGACCCAUGAUGACGAGGUAUAUCGUUUUAUCUGACAGCGUGAGGUUUAUGAACUUCAUUUCUAAUAUUGUGUUGCGGCAUAUUAGAAACGAUGUUUCUUCGAAAAUCGCUCGCUUGCAACGGAUAAAACGACUUUGAGUGGU